ACUCGCCGCUUCGACCAAACCUUCUCUCCAAUCCAAGAGGCUUUUCAAUUUCAAGAUAUGCUGCCAAGACAAACCCGCCGUUAUACCGGCCGAGCAGCAGUGGAUGUUUGACGAUCUCACUGGCCCCGUUUUUAUUUCUUCUAUCCUGACAAAACGGGGGCUAAUUUUCUCAAAAUCGGAGUCGUGAUAGUCGAGAUGUGGUUAGUGUUGAUUUGUGUUUCAUCCUGACUUUUCAAGAGAGUGUAGAGUCUAGAAUUGGGACAUUUUUUGGAAAUUGUGGUAGGUGUUGAAGUAUUGAAUUCACAUUGAUGAUGGAUGAAUAAGUGAAAAUAUAGUAAUCUCGUCAAAGAUGAUGAAUGUAGACAUGAUUGAUUGUAAAAGUUGGAUUCCCAUACUCCCUAAGAUUUCUUUGUUGGUUAAUGUGGUUAAUUAUUGGUUAAUGUGGUUAAUUGUAAAGAGAAAGAGCGGUUGUAAGUAUUGAAUGGAGAUGGAAAGAGAAUUGAAUAUUUAAUUGGGGAAAAAGUUACUAAAAAUAGAAACGUGUCAUUUUGAUUGGAACAAAUUAAAAAGGAAAAUGUGUAAUCUUAGUUGGGACGGAGGGAGUAGCAUUUUCUGACCAUUGAGAGCAAUAUGUAGGGUUGCAUUCUUCGAUUGACAGUUGAAGAAAAUGCCCAAGUUUUUGGCACGAUAAAUGAAGAAUUGAUGAUCUGUGAGGAGGUUGAAGGGGCUUUUCUUGGUAUGAUGGCUAAAUGAGAAUAUUUUUUACUUUAUACAGUCCAGUUGUUUGUGCACGCAAUCUUCAUCUAAAAUCUUGGUAAGGUAUUUUUACAUUCAAGCAUGUUUCGUACCCUUGUCUAACGAGUCCUUAGCUUAGUUUAUCCAGCCAUGACCGUGUAUUCACACACAAACAAACGCACACUGCAGUUAAUUGUGUUGCUCACAGUUUCAUAUUUUAGGAUGUGUGGAAUAAAACAUGGUAUCCCAAGGCUAAAGACCAUAUUCCAACCAGCAAGACUUGGUACGUAGUGGAUGCUAGCGACAAGAUUCUUGGAAGACUAGCUUCGACCAUAGCCAUUCAUAUCAGGGGAAAGAAUCUAGCUACUUAUACUCCUAGUGUCGACAUGGGAGCUCAUGUUAUAGUGCUUGGCAGAUCACUGUUUGCCCAUCUUAAGGUUUACACUGGUCCAGAUCACCCUCAUGAAGCUCAACAACCCAAGGAAUUACCUAUAAGGGACGACAGGAUAACAAAGCAGACGUAGAGGUGUUAAUGUUUCAUUCGGGGACUACAUUUCAGAUGUUGAUAAUGUAUUUCAUCAAUCACUUCCAUCUCUCCUGUGGCUGGAACAUUUGCACGAUUAUGUAAUUUUUGUAGUUUUGUCUCUCUUUUAUUUGAUAAAUCUCUUUAGUACA